AAUAAAAUACCUAAUAAAAGGAUUAUUCUGAUAGAAUAAUAAUGUAAUUUAAAAUAUUACUUUUAUUA
rnacentral:tRNA from 1 species